rnacentral:rRNA from 1 species
GACAGAGGGGGCAAGCGUUGCUCGGAAUUACUGGGCGUAAAGGGCGCGUAGGCGGGAUGGCAAGUCGGUCGUGAAAUCCCUCGGCUCAACCGAGGAACGUCGAUCGAUACUGCUGUUCUUGAGGAUUGCAGAGGAGACUGGAAUUCCCGGUGUAGCGGUGAAAUGUGUAGAGAUCGGGAGGAACACCGGUGGCGAAGGCGGCUUUCUAGGAUAUACCUGACACUGAGAAGCGACAGCUAGGGGAGCAAACAGG